rfam:Picea glauca, whole genome shotgun sequence.
ACACACACACAUACCAGAGUUAAUGCACCGGAUCUCAUCAGAACUUCACACUUAAGAGUGCUUGGGCUAGAGUAGUACUGGGAUAGGUGACCUCCCCAUAAGUCCUAGUGUUGCAUCCU